UGAAUACGAGAUGCUACGGCGUCGAAGCAGUCUAUGUCAUACUUCCAAGAAAAGCUUGCACUGUCAUAAACAAAUAAUGCCUGUACCAUAACCGACACAGGUGGGUAGGUAGAGUAUACUAAGGGGCGCGAGAUAACUCUCUCUAAGGAACUCGGCAAAAUGACUCCGUAACUUCGGGAGAAGGAGUGCCUUAUUUAUAAGGUUGCAAUAACAAGAUCCAAGCAACUGUUUACCAAAAACACAGGUCUCCGCUAAGUCGUAAGACGAUGUAUGGGGGCUGACGCCUGCCCAGUGCCAGAAGGUUAAAGAAGUUGGUUAGCAUCCGCGAAGCUGAUAACUGAAGCCCUGGUGAACGGCGGCCGUAACGAUAACGGUCCUAAGGUAGCGAAAUUCCUUGUCGGGUAAGUUCCGACCCGCACGAAAGGCGUAAUGAUUUGGAUACUGUCUCGGAGAGGGGCUCGGUGAAAUAGACUUGUCUGUGAAGAUGCGGACUACAUGCACCAGGACAGAAAGACCCUAUGAAGCUUUACUGUAACCUGAAAUUGAAAUUGGACUUUACUUGCGCAGUAUAGGUGGGAGGCGUUGAGAAUAUUCUUGCGGGAUUAUUGGAGCCAUCAGUGAGAUACCACUCUUGUAAUGUUAGAUUUCUAACUUUGUAUCAUUAUCUGGUCAAAGAACAGUUUCAGGCGGGCAGUUUGACUGGGGCGGUCGCCUCCUAAACGGUAACGGAGGCGCACAAAGGUUUCCUCUGAACGGGUAGAAAUCGUAUCUAGAGUGUAAAGGCAUAAGGAAGCUUGACUGUGAGACCUACAAGUCGAGCAGGGACGAAAGUCGGUCUUAGUGAUCUGACGGUGCUGAGUGGAAAGGCCGUCACUCAACGGAUAAAAGUUACUCUAAGGAUAACAGGCUGAUCUCCCCCAAGAGUUCACAUCGACGGGGAGGUUUGGCACCUCGAUGUCGGCUCAUCGCAUCCUGGGGCGGUAGUACGUCCCAAGGGUUGGGCUGUUCGCCCAUGAAAGCGGUACGCGAGCUGGGUUCAGAACGUCGUGAGACAGUUCGGUCCAUAUCCGGUGUAGGCGUUAGAAUAUUGAGAGGAGCCUUCUUUAGUACGAGAGGACCGAGAAGGACAUACCUCUGGUGUACCAGUUAUCGUGCCAACGGUAAACGCUGGGUAGCUAUGUGUGGAGUGGAUAACCGCUGAAAGCAUCUAAGUGGGAAGCCCACCUCAAGAUAAGUAUUCUCAC
rnacentral:rRNA from 1 species